rnacentral:rRNA from 1 species
GCAAGUCGAACGCUUCUUUUUCCACCGGAGCUUGCUCCACCGGAAAAAGAGGAGUGGCGAACGGGUGAGUAACACGUGGGUAACCUGCCCAUCAGAAGGGGAUAACACUUGGAAACAGGUGCUAAUACCGUAUACCAAUCGAAACCGCAUGGUUUUGAUUUGAAAGGCGCUUUCGGGUGUCGCUGAUGGAUGGACCCGCGGUGCAUUAGCUAGUUGGUGAGGUAACGGCUCACCAAGGCCACGAUGCAUAGCCGACCUGAGAGGGUGAUCGGCCACAUUGGGACUGAGACACGGCCCAAACUCCUACGGGAGGCAGCAGUAGGGAAUCUUCGGCAAUGGACGAAAGUCUGACCGAGCAACGCCGCGUGAGUGAAGAAGGUUUUCGGAUCGUAAAACUCUGUUGUUAGAGAAGAACAAGGAUGAGAGUAACUGUUCAUCCCUUGACGGUAUCUAGCCAGAAAGCCACGGCUAACUACGUGCCAGCAGCCGCGGUAAUACGUAGGUGGCAAGCGUUGUCCGGAUUUAUUGGGCGUAAAGCGAGCGCAGGCGGUUUCUUAAGUCUGAUGUGAAAGCCCCCGGCUCAACCGGGGAGGGUCAUUGGAAACUGGGAGACUUGAGUGCAGAAGAGGAGAGUGGAAUUCCAUGUGUAGCGGUGAAAUGCGUAGAUAUAUGGAGGAACACCAGUGGCGAAGGCGGCUCUCUGGUCUG